UCGAUAUCUCUCACUCUUUCUCCAAGCGGAGGCAGAAGAAAUAAAGAGCUUCUCAUCGUCGGCCUUCGGCGCCCCCAAAUCCUUCACAGGAACCCUGGUCAACGCCGCGAUCGAUCCUUUUUGCCGUAAUCUCCAAUCCGGAAAAUAAAAAUAUAAUCUUUAUUCCUCAAAUUGUUAUAGACAGAGAUUAAUCGAGGAGGAAUUCGUAGUUGGAAUGGCGACAGUGGUUGCUGGUGAUAGUAGUUCUCUGAAUCCAUCUUUUGCUAUCCAAGAAGCAGGAAGCAGGAACAAGAGAAAAUUCCAUGCUGAUCUGCCGCUGGUGGACUCAAAUGCGCUAGCCGAUGCAUUGCAAACAGAGUUGCCGAAUUUUGAUUUGUUCCCCGCAGAGCAAACCUCCGAGAUUCCCAGCCUCGAACACCAUGAGGGCGAGUGUGAUAUGUGUAGGACUCAUAUGUUUGGGUUCAAAGAGGGACCAGAGUUGGAUGAAUUCCAAGAUGUUGAUUGGAGUUGCCUCACAGAAUCCCAGCUUGAGGAAAUCUUGCUUGAUAACUUGGAUGUGGUCUUUAUGACCGCAAUUAAGAUGAUAACUUCUCAUGGGUACACUAAGGAAGUUGCAACGAGUGCUGUAUUGAGCUCAGGGCUCUGUUAUGGUUAUAAGGAUACCGUAUCUAAUGUUGUGGACAAUGCAUUGGCAUUGCUGAGGAGAGGACAACAGGUGGAUUCCUCUUCCAAAGAGAACAUUUCCAAGAAUUUGAAGGAGUUGGAGAAGAGGGUGUUGGCGGAGAUGAUUAGUGUGCUUAGAGGGGUUCGACCAUUUAUUAGUACAGGUGAGGCCUUAUGGUGCUUACUGAUGUCCGAUGCUAAUGUUACCCAUGCUUGUGCAAUGGACAGCAGUUCAUCAAACGCUGUCAUUAGUGAUGAGUACUUGGGCACUUCUGUUGCCGCAAAGUUAGAAUCAAGGUCGGAGUCCAAUGACACUAUUCCAGUAAGUUCUAAAAGUAAUGUUCGAGGAGUCAUACCUUGUUCUGAUAGUGCCCAGCAAUCUGAACCUGGAAAGAUGAUGGUGAUCCCAAGUCUACCUCAUGGAAAGUUCUCAGCCUCUAAUGAGAAUGACCUGGUUUCAAAACCUAAAGCUAUGAAAGAAAGUUUGAUUUCUUCAUCGAACCAUGUUGGAGAAUCUUCUUCUUCAAUAGUUUCUCGGUCUCCUCAAGAAGAGAAAUCAGUUAGUGGUAAAAAGGUCCAUGUAGGUUGUUCCAAAAAAGGAACUGUCCAACACAGGUCAGUACAUGUUGAGAAGAGCUAUCGACCACUGGGAACUAAAGCGGUUUCGAGAGCAUGUAGACAAAGUGGCUCGGGUAGCUUAAUCAUGGAUAGGAAAUGCAAACAAAUCUCAGAUGCUACAAGCAUAAGUUUGAAGAGCUCCUCAUUGAAGCCAGGGGAGGCUACAGGAACUGAGAAAUCAUUUGCAGAUGCUAACCUUAACCUUUCUUUUAGUCAUGGAUACUCAUCUAGCCCCACAGGCGGCAGAAAAGAAGUUACCAGCAGAUCAAUGACACCAACUACAGACACUGAACUCUCUCUAUCGCUGUCUUCAGGAAGCAGCAUUGCUCUUAGUCCUACACAAGAGUCUAAUGUUGAUGCUGCAAAUUGCAGCAGUAAUGGUAUGAUCCAUUCUGGCACAACGUUCAGAGAUUGGAUCCCAGAGGACAAGAAGGAUGAAAUGCUGCUCAUAUUAGUUCCCCUGAUGCGUGAACUCCAGGUGCAGCUGCAAGAUUGGUCUGACUGGGCCCAGGAAAAGGUGAUGCAGGCUGCCCGAAGGCUGAACAAGGAGAAGGUUGAGCUCCAAAUUCUGAGACAAGAAAAAGAAGAAGCAGCCUGUCUCCAGAAAGAGAUGCAAACUCUAGAAGAGAAUACCAGGAAGAAGCUUGCUGAGAUGGAACUUGCAAUAUCAAAGGCAAGUGCGCAGGUUGAAAGGGCUAAUGCUGCUGCCCGCAGGCUUGAAUUUGAGAAUACACAGCUAAGGCUUGGAAUGGAAGCUGCAAAACUACAUGCAGCACAAUCAGAGGCAAAUUGUCAAGAAGCUUCAAGAAGGGAGAUGAAGACUCUUAAAAUGUUCCAGUCAUGGGAAAAACAGCAAAUAAUGUUUCAAGAGGAGCUUGCAAAUGAAAAGCAUCAGCUUUCUCAGCUGCAGCAGCAACUUGAACAAGUCAAGGAACUUCAAGAUCAAUCCGAGGCUAGGUGGAGGCAAGAAGAAAAGAUGAAGAAUGAGGCACUUGCAGAGAUCAGUGCUGAAAGAAACGAGCGGGAGCAGAUUGAGACUUCAGCAAAAUCACAGGAAAAUGCAUUAAGAUUGAAAGCAGAAAAUGAUUUGCAAAGAUGCAAAAGCGAUAUUCGCAGGCUUGAGCAGCAGAUUGCGCAACUAAGGCAAGUCACCAACUUGUCUAUUCUUGCUGCUCCGAGGUGGGGAACAGAAAGAACCUAUGCGUGCCGCCUUUUGGGUGGAAGCAAGAACAUCAAUGCCAAUAUUUUGGUCGACAUAGUGGACUCCCAGGAUUCGGCAUCUGAAGAACUACAACGUGAAAGGGAAUGCGUCAUGUGCUUAUCCGAGGAGAUGUCUGUUGUUUUCCUUCCCUGUGCCCACCAAGUUGUUUGCACCAAAUGCAAUGAGCUCCAUGAAAAGCAGGCCAUGAAAGACUGCCCUUCUUGUAGGACUCCCAUUCAGCGAAGGGUUUCGGUUCGCUUGGCAGACCGUUAGCAUGAAUAUGAUCUCUGUGAAAGUUUCAGAACACCAUGAUUCAUGAUUUGGAAAUAAAUAAGGUGGUGCCUGAGCGAGGGAGGAGAAACCAUAGAAAAGGACACCAAGAAACGUGUGAUGUCCAUGACUCACUCGCCGUCCGCUCUCCCGGAACACCAAGAAAGGACACCAAGCAACACGACGCACGGCGAGUCCGCCGAGGCCGACACCGACCGACGCCCAAACCCUCACCUACCAUUCUCUCACGUCCGAUUGGUGCGAGUUGCAUCGGAAGCACUGCCAAUAUAUCUGUUUAAUUUCAUGGUAUUGUCGUGCCACUCCCACCAUAAAUCCUCCCAUCCACUAUAAGACUCUUUGGGGACGUUCCCAUUUCACAGGUGCGUUCUGCACGUCAAUGGAUUGUUCUGUAAGAUUCCUUUGCUACUAAGACAUCAAAUCAA